UCAGCAGUCCAAGAAUAUUAGUCAAUGCUCCAAAGAGUGAACUAGCUAACUGAAAUCAAUUUUUAAAAAUUGAUAACAUAAGGGAAAAUAAUGAUAUUACCUUAUUAUUAGUGUCGUCCAAAUUUGGUGCCAGAAGACUCGGUAAGGCCAGAGACACAAACGUUAAUCGUCUUAAUCAGGCGUAAAGGGUUUGUAGGCGGCUUUAAAAAUUAUUUAAAUAAAAAUUUAAUAAUUAAAGAAUAAAAGCUAGAAUCAAACAGAGGAUAUAUUAAAGAAUGCUUAGAGCAGGUCUGAUAUCCUUAGAUACUAAGUAGAAUAUUAAAGGCGAAAGCUUUUUUCCAUUAAUGAUUGACGCUCAGAAACGAAGGUGAGGAUAGGAAAUAGGAUUAGAUACCCAAAAUACCCCUCUCUGUCAACGAUGAAUGGUAGUUAUUAAUAAAAAUUAUUAUUAAUGACAAUGUUAACACGAUAACCAUUCCGCCUUGUGAGUACAACUGCAAAGUUGAAAACAAAAAAAUUAGUCGGUUUCGGAGCAAACGAAGUGAAGCAUGUUAUUUAAUUCGAUAAUCCGCAACAGGGAGGUUCUUUGUUUUCAAUUUUGCAGUUGUACAACAAGGUGGAAUGGGUAUAGUGCAAACAUUGGCAUCCACAAUAAUUUAUUAUUAAUUGCAACAUUUUUCGUGCCGCGGAG
rnacentral:rRNA from 1 species